rnacentral:miRNA from 1 species
UGACAUCAUGUGCGCGUGCUGCU